rnacentral:rRNA from 35 species
GCGACCCCAGGUCAGGCGGGAUUACCCGCUGAAUUUAA